rnacentral:rRNA from 1 species
GAUGAACGCUAGCUACAGGCUUAACACAUGCAAGUCGAGGGGUAACAAGAGGAAAGCUUGCUUUUCUUGUUGACGACCGGCGCACGGGUGAGUAACGCGUAUCCAACCUGCCUAUAACUAGGGAAUAACCUCGCGAAAGUAAGACUAAUACCCUAUGAUUUCCUUUGAUGACAUCAGAUUAGGAAUAAAGAUUUAUCGGUUAUAGAUGGGGAUGCGUCUGAUUAGCUUGUUGGCGGGGUAACGGCCCACCAAGGCAACGAUCAGUAGGGGUUCUGAGAGAAAGGUCCCCAACAUUGGAACUGAGACACGGUCCAAACUCCGACGGGAGGAAGCAGUGAGGAAUAUUGGUCAAUGGGCGGAAGCCUGAACCAGCCAAGUAGCGUUCAGGAUGACGGCCCUAUGGGUUGUAAACUGCUUUUAUACAGGAAUAAAGUUAGCCACGUGUGGUUAUUUGUAGGUACUGUAUGAAUAAGGACCGGCUAAUUCCGUGCCAGCAGCCGCGGUAA